CCUACGGGUGGCAGCAGUGAGGAAUAUUGGUCAAUGGGCGAGAGCCUGAACCAGCCAAGUCGCGUGAGGGAGUACUGCCCUAUGGGUUGUAAACCUCUUUUGUCGGGGAGCAAAAGCCGGACGUGUCCGGCUGUGAGAGUACCCGAAGAACAAGCAUCGGCUAACUCCGUGCCAGCAGCCGCGGUAAUACGGAGGAUGCGAGCGUUAUCCGGAUUUAUUGGGUUUAAAGGGUGCGCAGGCGGAUUUUUAAGUCAGCGGUAAAAUCGUGGGGCUCAACCCCAUCCAGCCGUUGAAACUGGGGAUCUAGAGUGUGCGAGAGGUAUGCGGAAUGCGUGGUGUAGCGGUGAAAUGCAUAGAUAUCACGCAGAACCCCGAUUGCGAAGGCAGCAUACCGGUGCACAACUGACGCUCAGGCACGAAAGCGUGGGUAUCGAACAGGAUUAGAUACCCGGGUAGUC
rnacentral:rRNA from 1 species